UUAGUGUCAAAAAUGUGACCCAUUCCCACCCCCUUUUUAAAAAAAAAUGUUUUUAUUCUGGUUGUUUUCGUCAGCAGGUUCACUUUUUACUUUGGUGUGUGCUUCACUUUUGUUUUAGUUUGUUUGCAUGGGAGUCAAAGUGUGUUAGAAGUUUCAUUUGUGUUGGCGCCUCAGGCAUACCGGUCAACGUUUCCAAAUAUGGGACAUUUCCUGGGUCAAGAAAGGUUUUUUAUUUUCAUCACAAAGGGUAGUUAAAUCCGUAAAAAAAAAAAAGAAAAAUAUAUGGAUAAUACAUGCCUUCAAUGGGAUUCAAACCUGUGUCUGCUAUUGCCCAAAUAGGCUUGACAAAACCCUUCAAAAAAAGGUGGCUUGUGUAUGUAGUACUCCUGCCUCACCACAGGGGGCAACAGUGAGGCAUGUAUGUCACAGUGAAGCAGGUUUUUUUUGUUAUUUUUGUGUAGGUUGUCUAUUUUUUUUCAAGGACCGAUACCCACUAGUCUUGCACAUGCUGGAGUCGUACAAACCCGAUCACUUUUUUUUUUUUUUUUUAGAAUGAAAGUGUAAAUAAAAAGUAAUAGUAAAAAUUUAAAAAAAGGUAAAUAGAAGGUACAUCAAAGGUAGUAAAUCAAAGGUAGAAAGUGAACAGAAGGUAUUAGACGAUUAAAAAAUGAAUACAAUGUAAUAAAAAUGUAUUAAAAGUUAACUAAAGAGGUAUAAAAGAUAAAAACAAGGUAAAAGAUGGUCAAAGAAAAUAAAGUCAGUAAAAGGUGAAAAAAAGGGUAAAUACGGUGAAUAGAAGGUAGAGCAAAAGUAGUAAAUAAAAGGUAGAAAGUGAACACAAGGUAAUAAAAAGGUUAAAAAAAAUAACACAAAAGGUAAGACGAUAAACAAUGAGUAUAAUUUUAAUAAAAGUUUAAAAGGUAUAAAAUGAAUAUAAAAGGUAAAAGACCAUCAAAGAAAAUAAAUACAAAGUCAUUAAAAGGAGAGAAAAAAAAGGUACAGCAAAGGUAGUAAAUAAAAGGUAGAAAGUGAACAGAUGGUAAAAAAAUUAAAAAAAAAAAAAAGAAUAGAGAAGGUUAACAAAAGGUAAAAGAUGAUAAAAAUGGAUAGAAUGUAAAAUAAAAGUUAAAUAAAAAGGUAUAAAAGUAAUAUGGAAGGUAAAAACAAGGUAACAGACGGUCAAAGAAAAUAAAUAGAAAGUCAAAAGGUAAAGUAAAAAAAGGUAAAUAUAAGGUACAUGAAAGGUAGUAAAUUAAAGGUAGAAAGUGAACAGAUGGUAUUAAAAAGGUAAAAGACGAUUAAAAAAUGCAUAAAAUUUAAAUAAUGUAUUAAAAGUUAAUUAAAAAGGUAUAAAAGGUAAAAGACGGUCAAAGUAAAUAAAUAGUCAAGAGGUGAAAAAAAGGUAAAUAGAAGGUAAAUACGGUGAAAAGAAGGUGCAGCCAAAGUAAUAAAUAAAAGGUAGGAAGUGAACAGAAGGUAAUAAAAGGGUAAAAAAAAAAAGAACACAGAAGGUAAACAAAACGUAAGACUAUAAAAAUGAAUGUACUUUAAAUAAAAAUUUAAUAAAAGUUAAAAAGGUAUAAAAGGAAUAUAAAAGGUAAAAACAAGGUAAAAGAUGGUCAAAGAAAAUAAAUAGAAAGUCAAUAAAAAGAUUAAAAAAGUGUAAAUAAGGUAAAUAGAAGGUAUAUCAAAGGUAGUAAAUAAAAGGUAAAAAAUUAACAGAAGGUAAUAAAAAGGUAAAAAAAUGAAUACAGAAGGUAAACAAAAGGUAAAAGACAAUAAAAAUGAAUAACAUGUAAAUAAAAAUGGAAUAACAGUUAAAUAUAAAGGUACAAAAUGAAUAUAAAAGGUAAAAACAAGGUAAAAGACGGUCAAAGAAAAUAAAUAGAAAGUCAAUAAAAAAAAAAAAAACAUAAAUAAGGUAAAUAGAAGGUACAUCAAAGGUAGUAAAUUAAAGGUAGAAAGUAAACAGAAAGUAAUAAAAAGGUAAAAGAUGAUUAAAAAGAAAUAAAAUGUAAAUAAAAAUGUAUUAAAAGUUAAUUAAAAAGGUAUAUAAGGUACAAACAAGGUAAAAGAUGGUCAAAGAAAAUAACUAAAGUCAAUAAAAGGUGAAAAAAGGUAAAUAGUAGGUCAAUGCGGUGAAUGGAAGGUACAACAAAAAUAGUAAAUUAAAGGUAGAUAGUGAACAGAAGGUAUUGAUAAGGUAAAAAAAACAAAGAAGGUAAACAAAAGGUGAGAUGAUCAAAAAUUUAUAUAAUUAAAAUAAAUAUGUAAUAAAAGUUAAAAAGGUAUAAAAAGAAUAAAAAAAGGUAAAAGACCAUCAAAUAAAAUAAUUAGAAAGUCAAUAAAAGGUAAAAAAAGAAAAAGGUAAGUAUAAGGUACAACAAA